UACGGAAGGCAGCAGUGGGGAAUAUUGCACAAUGGGCGCAAGCCUGAUGCAGCCAUGCCGCGUGUAUGAAGAAGGCCUUCGGGUUGUAAAGUACUUUCAGUCGUGAGGAAGGUGUUAAGGUUAAUAACCUUAGCAAUUGACGUUAGCGACAGAAGAAGCACCGGCUAACUCCGUGCCAGCAGCCGCGGUAAUACGGAGGGUGCGAGCGUUAAUCGGAAUUACUGGGCGUAAAGGGCACGCAGGCGGUUAAUUAAGUUGGAUGUGAAAUCCCCGGGCUUAACCUGGGAAUGGCAUUCAAGACUGGUUAGCUAGAGUCUUGUAGAGGGGGUAGAAUUCCAUGUGUAGCGGUGAAAUGCGUAGAGAUGUGGAGGAAUACCGGUGGCGAAGGCGGCCCCUGGGACAAAGACUGACGCUCGAUGUGCGAAAGCGUGGGGAGCGAAACAGGAUUAGAUACC
rnacentral:rRNA from 1 species